GUCAUUUGAACUUGUCAUGCGCUACAAAGAACAGCAGCAGGUACAUAGGCAGCAACAAUCUAAUCACCCGGGAUCAACUUCCGGUGCAACGUCUCAUUUUGCAACAAUUGCGCAACCACAGCAUCAAUUCCGUUAAAAUUAUUAUACAUUAGUGUGUUUUCGUUAUUGUACAAUUAAUCAUUAAAUUUUCAUGUUGUUCCAUACAUUUAUCGUCAUGCAUCUUACGAAAUUUGUUCAAUAAACAAGAGGCGGCACGCCAUACACAU
rnacentral:misc_RNA from 1 species